rnacentral:rRNA from 1 species
CGAGCGCACCCUUGUCCUUAGUUGCCAGCCUUAUGUUGGGGACUCUCAGGAGACUGUGGGUGAGAACCGGAGGAGGGGGGGGACGACAUCAAGUCAUCUUGGGCCUUUUAUGUAGGGCUACACACGUGCUACACUGGGAUUUAUACAGGGAGGCGAGACACUGAUGUGGAGAGGACCCCUUAAAAAAUGUCGUAUACCGGAGUGUGGUCUGCGACUCUACUCCCUGAAAUCGGAAACUCUAGUAAUCUCAGGUCACAAAAUUGCGGUGAAUACAUUCCCGGGGCUU